rnacentral:misc_RNA from 1 species
AAUUCUCAACUUCAAUAGUUUUUAUAGCUCAUUGAAGCUUGGAUGUGGGAGCUUGCUGGCGUCUUAGAUGUUCGGCUCUCCUUAAAAGCAUUAGUGGAAACUCGUUUGUUGGACCACCCUUGGUGUGAUAAUUAUCUACGCCUUGGUCAGUCUGGCAGCUCUGGUUUGAUUGUCCUCAGGCGUUCCAGUGGAGCGUUCUGGUUGGGGCGGCUGCAUUAAUUUGCUCUGCCUGCAAUAAGAUCUCACUAGAGUAGGGAUGUCUGCUUUCUAACCGUCUGUGUAUUCGGACAAUUUAUUGACU